rnacentral:rRNA from 1 species
UGAGGAAUAUUGGUCAAUGGUCGGGAGACUGAACCAGCCAAGCCGCGUGAGGGAUGAAGGUGCUAAGCAUUGUAAACCUCUUUUGUCAGGGAACAAAGGCAUCCACGAGUGGGUGUGUGAGUGUACCUGAAGAAAAAGCAUCGGCUAACUCCGUGCCAGCAGCCGCGGUAAUACGGAGGAUGCGAGCGUUAUCCGGAUUUAUUGGGUUUAAAGGGUGCGUAGGCGGCCUGUUAAGUCAGCGGUAAAAGCCCGGGGCUCAACCCGGCGAGCGUUGAAACUGGCUGGCUGGAGUCGGCGAGAGGUAUGCGGAAUGCGCGGUGUAGCGGUGAAAUGCUUAGAUAUCGCGCAGAACUCCGAUUGCGAAGGCAGCAUACCAGCGCUCAACUGACGCUCAGGCACGAAAGCGUGGGUAUCGAACAGGAUUAGAUACC